rnacentral:rRNA from 1 species
CGCGUAGGCGGAUUGUCGUGUCUGGUGUGAAAGUCCGGGGCUCAACCCCGGAAGUGCAUUGGAAACUGGCAAUCUUGAGUUCGGGAGAGGAGGGCAGAAUUCCUGGUGUAGGGGUGAAAUCCGUAGAUAUCAGGAGGAAAAUCAGUGGCGAAGGCGGCCCUCUGGAACGUAACUGACGCUGAGGCGCGAAAGCGUGGGGAGCAAACA